AGCUCGUGUGCCACGGCUGCUGAGCCUGUGCUCUAGAGCCUGUGAGACACAACUGCUGAGCCCACGUGCCGCAGCUACUAAAGCCCGCGCGCCUAGAGCCCGUGCUCCACAAUGAGAGAGGCCACUGCAAUGAGAAGCCCGCGCACCGCAACAAAGAGUGCCCCUUCUCGCCGCAACUAGAGAAAGCCUGCAUGCAGCAACGAAGACCCAAUGCAGCCAAAAAUACAUUAAU